rnacentral:lncRNA from 1 species
AUUUACCACAAUCAAACAAAGAUGAACAAAUAGAGAUAAAAACCCAAAUCAAUUAUAUUAAUAAAACAACCGAAUCAUCAACAACAGGUUAUACCAAAACCUUAUAUUAAAGUAUUUAGCUACUCAUAACAAGGAAGAAAUAAACUAAGAAAAUAUUCAUAAUCAUAACUUGGAAGAAAUUAAAAGAGAAAAAGAACACUAAUGUUGAUGGAUGAACUCCCAAGCUUGUUCUUCUCCCAAAAUGAGCUCCAAAAACGAGUCUCCCUUAGGUGGGCGAGUUCCUUUCCAAAUAUAGGGUUAUUACAAAAGUUUUCCCGGUUUUUGCACUUUAGUCCUUCAUUUCUUGAGCUUUAACGAGGCCCCCGCUACCACGCCCGCGACCGCAGUGACGACCGCGGCGCUCUCUGUGGUUGACCGCUGCUCGGGUCGCGGCUCGGACAGCCCAUCAUUUUCCUCGUUUCAUUUCUCUCAACUGCUCUUUUGAGUUCGGUUUCUUCAUGAGUGGGUAAUUCCGUUACAUUCUUGCCUAUAAACGCUUCAUUUAUGUUUCUUCGAAUCUUGUAUUCUCUGCAUAAUCAAAUAACAUUAAUUCAAGCAUUUUAAUGGCACUUUACAUUACAAAACAACAAAAGAUCAUGGGUAAUUAUGAUGUAAAUAGUGAUUAUAUUGCCUAUUAUCAUGUACAAAGAAUGCCAAUCACUUUUGUUAAUGUCCAUAGUCUUGUUAAAUCCUGGGAAGUAUCAUGAUAUCUCUUAGAAUUUCCUUGAUAUUUCAUUAUUGUUUUGGCUUGUUUAGAUGUUCUAUGUAUCAUAAUUUGGAAAAAGGAAAUACGAACUCACUGAUAGGGACGUUUUGGUUGACCUACAUGCUACGGUAUUGGAAAUUAAUUAUUUCAUUCUGUGUUCCUUCUCACAUGUUUGUGACACUAUUGACAAGUUUGGUCUUUAUGUUCCUAACUCCUAACUUAUACACAAGCUUGCUCUAUGUAAUUAUCCUUUUUGGUUUAAUUCAUGUAAACAUUUUAUUAAUUGUGUGGAGUCUUUGCUCCAGUUCUUUAGUAUUCUCUAGUCCAAUUAAAAUUCCAGGGAAAGAUGUACUUAGCGCUAACAGUUGUCAAAAUUAUUAAUAUUUGUUUAAUACAAAAUCACUAAUAUUUAUUUCAAUGCUUCUGUGCAAAUUAAUUUUGAAAAAAGAAGAAGAAGAAGUAUUAGCUUCCCAAAGUGCAUCUGUUGAUGGAGAAACUAAUUAGCUAGCGAGCUUUCUCAAUUAAGUGAAAUGGAUAUUUGGGUGCUAUCAAUUGGUGGAAAGAAAAAAAGAAGAGUUGCAGGUCUUGGCUCAUUGGAUCGAUCUGUAAAAGUGACUAAGCAAACAAUAUCUGAUGUGUCAGAAGAAGUUGAUGACAGAAUUAGAACGCAGAUUCAUGCGUUAAAUGCUGAGUUAUAUAAUUAGUUGAAAGAAGCACAACACCAAAAUGAAGAGAUGAGGCACCAAAAUAAAAUGAUGAGACGCUAAAUCAAAAAAAUGAGGAAAGAGUUAGGUGACACAAAUGAGAAAUUAGCAGCACUGAUAAAACAUGUGGGUUACCCGACAUCAUCUUCGAAUGCACAACCAUCAUCUUCGGAAAACAAUCAAGAUUCACAGAGUGAUAAUGAUGAUAACAACAACUCGAUAGAUAAGUAUGAUUAUGAUUGAGAUACUAAGUAUGAUUUGGAUUGAGAUACUCGGCAAUACUAUUUAAGAUUUGCAGUUUAGACUUUUAAUCUUUGUUCAUUUAGGAAUUAUGCAUUAUUAAUUAUUGAAGCUUAGAACAGGAAUGAAGCAAUCCAAAAAGGAAUUUGAAAAAUGAUUAGAGCCAGCAAUGAAACAGUGAAACUGUUUUGAUUUUUUGUUUUCUGAUGUUUUUGUAUUUUGGAUAUUUAAAUGUCAAAGGCAUAUCUCAGAAUUAAAGAGAGGGAGGGAGCUUUUUAGUCCCUUACUCAAAUUAGCUAUUACCCCCUUAUUCCCUAACUUAUCACACAAGUAAAUGCCCUCCCUUUUCAAAAUUCUAACCUUGCCCCUUAUCUAGAAGGUUCUAGAAUGACCUAGCUGAAUUCCCCUAUGUUUAUUUCCCAUUCUGCCCCUACCCUUUUUACCGAAUUACCCUCUUGUCCUUAUGACCAAACUACUUUCUAGACUAUGAAUUGAACUACAGCUAACAAAUGAAAUCCUAAUUUAUUGUCGCCUGAUUAUCAAUGUAACAAGACUAACCAUCAAAGCUAAGAAAACACCAUUAACCUUAUACUAAUCUAACUAACAAGUAGAAAAUCUAUUGCACACAGAAUGAUCACUGAUGAGACCACAAAACAAUAGAAAUGAUACUGAAAUAAAAAUCUAUCCUACCAAAGCAUCAAUUAAUCAGGACAAAGAAUAGAAAUAAAAGUCAAAUAGAGAAGAAAUUAAAAGCAAACUUUAGCUAAAAUCAAAACAAAUAAGCAGUUAAGUACAAAACUAGAAGAGAAUUAACGACAAGUUACACACAUUAAACUGGAGACUAACAUUCGAUAGAAUAACAACAAAAAAUAAGAAAAAUACAUCAAGAAAUAAAACUCACUAGAAUUGAAACGAUUUCAACAAGAAUUCGGUUAACUGAAAUUCAUCUCCGGCCAUUUACGGUGACAUUUGAACUCUUUUGACACUAAAAUCCUCAUCAGGGCAGCCCAAGGAACCCUAUGAUACUAAUUUGGUAAGGGUUGGAUUAUUUAGGGUUUGGACGAAAAUAUUUAAAUCAAUAUUCGACCAUUCCAGGCACAUUCGAGACAUGGGGUUUGAUAGAGGAGGGUGUAACGAUUCUACAGUGUAAUUUUGGUAUGAUUUAGAGUAACUGGCGUUGCGACCAAAAACGUUUGAUCGAUUAUUUGAAGACCUGGGCUGGGAUUUGAAGGAAAUGGACUAGGGAAUCGAGACGAGGAGACGAGGAGAAGUUAGGGCGUUAAUCUAGCAGCCACUGGUGGUGGUGGCAUUCACCGUCGAUGGCGUCUCCGGCGAGGUGCAGAGACAGUACGAGGAAGACGAGAGUUGGUCGUGUAGGAUUAGUGAUUUUAGGACAAUUAUAUUAAAUCACAAGAGAAAAGUGGGGCCUUCGAAUUAAAAGGGAUCAAAGGAUGGGAUUGCACAGGGGAAAAACGAUGUCAUUUUUUGUUAAUUGCUGGGGCACACCGGGUCCAUUGAAAUCUUUUUCAUGGUAUGGAACUCACUUCAUACCUGCAACAGAGUCAAAGCUGCGGUAAUACUGACUCUCCUGGUCAAUAGGGCUAUUCAAACCAAUCCCCCCUUUCUGUUUGCAAUUACCGCUGCAGAAUAGUCAUCCCUAAAAGAAGCAGUUUUCCAAUUCAAAUAGGUUGCUUUUAGAAUAGGUUGUUCUCGAAUAAGCUCUUUGAAAGAUAACUGAAUGCGUUUAGUCCCUUGGGGAAGGGUCUGCGCCCAGGGGCUCUUUUUAGCACUUUUGAGGAAGUGAAGACGAAUAGUCGACUUUGUUGCCUGCUUGACUGCUUUCAUCUCCUGAUGUCAGAAAAGGUGUUCUAUCUCAUUCUUUUAGCUGCAAGGGAACCGUCAGGUUGUAGUGGUUGAAGUAGAGCCAAGCAGCGAUGGACUAAGCGAGUCAAAUAACGCUGGUGCGAACCAUGUUGGAUGACGGGUGAGGGUGAGAAAGAAGUCCUGCUCUACUGCCCUGUGUUAAGCAAAGUGAGUUUACUUCGUUUCAGGCCAUCUUAUUCAGUCUCAUGGAACUAAACUCUUAGAUGCAGCAUGCAGCCAUCUACACACUCCAGCUGCUUCCUUUUGAGCUAGUCAAGCAGGCGUUGAACA